rnacentral:rRNA from 1 species
AUUGAACGCUGGCGGCAUGCCUUACACGUGCAAGUCGAACGGCAGCACGGGAGCAAUCCUGGUGGCGAGUGGCGAACGGGUGAGUAAUAUAUCGGAACGUGCCCAGUCGUGGGGGAUAACGUAGCGAAAGCUACGCUAAUACCGCAUACGAUCUACGGAUGAAAGCGGGGGAUCGCAAGACCUCGCGCGAUUGGAGCGGCCGAUAUCAGAUUAGCUAGUUGGUGGGGUAAAAGCUCACCAAGGCGACGAUCUGUAGCUGGUCUGAGAGGACGACCAGCCACACUGGAACUGAGACACGGUCCAGACUCCUACGGGAGGCAGCAGUGGGGAAUUUUGGACAAUGGGCGCAAGCCUGAUCCAGCAAUGCCGCGUGCAGGAUGAAGGCCUUCGGGUUGUAAACUGCUUUUGUACGGAACGAAACGGUGAGCUCUAAUAAAGCUUGCUAAUGACGGUACCGUAAGAAUAAGCACCGGCUAACUACGUG